GAGCGCUGCGCCUGCCGUCCGGCCGAGCUCCACAUCCUCAAUCCCCUGAUGUGCGCCGCCGUCACUGUCGUCCUUGACGAAAUAAGGCAGCGCGAGCGGUCGACUACAAUAUCUCAGGUUUCUCCGUCUUUCUAACUGCUGCCGCCAGGCCCAGGCCCUCCCUUCCGCGCGCUCUUCCUAGCUUGGAGAUGCGUCUGAGGCGGUGCAGCGAUGGGUGAGUCAGCUCCGCAGCGCCGGGAUCCCUCUCCGGCAGGUGCUGAUUCGUCUUCUCCACAACGCCAUCGGGGAGGUGCUACAUCUCCACUCCAGUAGCUGUCAGUGCCCCUCCAAACGCGAUGCCCUGGCUCAGCACCAGGUGGUGUGUUGCCUGCACGAUGACAUGCAAUUGUUUUUAGGGUCACGAGUAAUCUUUCACCCUGUUAUCUCAAUAAGGAAGAGACAAGUUUUUUGAUUCAGUAGCACCCGGAAUUGAAGAAAUUGAAAGGGCUUGGAGCUAAUGGAUUAGUUUGUUCAUGAAGAAGUAUUUGAAAGACCUCCGAUGAAGCUCCAAAACUGAGUCAUCUCUACUGUUUCAGUAUCACAGCCAAUUCCAAUAAGGAAACGAAGGAAGCGAGCAAUGUGCAACAUACGCUUUCAGGGAGUAAAAUGGCUAGGUGUCGAGGAAAUCCUGAGAAAAAUUGGAGUACAAUCAGAUCUUGGAAGAUUCUUUGCAUGGACAAACAUUUAGCUCUUCUAAACAAGAAUUUGCUACUUCUGGACCAUCAUCGUGUGGGGGCCUCCUGAAGAUUGCAUGUACCUGAAUUUUCUGUUGUUGCGCUCUGUCAUUGGAAAUCCGUCCAGCUGCCCGCUGGUGAAUCCUGUUGAUCGUUGGCGCCAGGAGAUUGCCUGUGAGAAACUCAUUCAGCGAGCACAUAAGCUUCAGUUCUAAAAAACUAUAAAAUCGAGUUUCCUCUUCAUUUUCUUGUUUCUGCCUUCCUGUACUUCAAAAAAAAACUGUCACACUUGUGUUUGCAUCUUAAAUGAAACCAGGGGACGUGGCCCCUUUAAUUCUAAAAGAAACAUCAAUAAUUCUUUAACUCUGGGUUGGGCGCGGCGUGCCGCCGCAACUGUUUUUGCUAGUUUCUAUCAAGAGGGUACCAAAGGUUCUUU